rnacentral:rRNA from 1 species
UACGGGGGGGGCGAGCGUUGUCCGAAGUUACUGGGCGUAAAGCGCGUGUAGGCGGGUUGCUAAGUCCGCUGUGAAAGCCCGGUGCUUAACGCCGGAGGGUCGGUGGAUACUGGCAGUCUUGAAGUGGCUAGGGGGAAAUGGAAUUACCGGUGUAGCGGUGAAAUGCGUAGAUAUCGGUAGGAACACCAGUGGCGAAGGCGGUUUCCUGGAGCUAACUUGACGCUGAGACGCGAAAGCUGGGGGAGCAAACGGG